rnacentral:rRNA from 1 species
AAUACAUGCAUGUCGAACGAAGCACUUGUGCUUAGUGGCAAAUGGGCGCAGUGAUACACGUACUGAAUCUACCGCCAAGUUUGGGAUAACAGUAGGAAACACAUUGCAUGAUACCAGGAUACAUACAAGUGUUGCAUACUGCUUAUAUAAACGGAGCGUUAGAUUCGCUACGUGAUGAGAGCGCGCUUGCUUCGUUGCUCGGGUGCGUCGUAGCCCAUGCAUACAUUGAUCGCUCGCGGGGCUGAGAAGCUGAGCCACGAUACAGCUCUAGAGAUACGGCCCAGACUCCUACGGGAGGCAGCAGUAGGGAAUAUUCCACAAUGAGCGAAAGCUUGAUGGAGCAACACAGCGUGCAGGAAGACGACCUUAGGGUUGUAAACUGCUGUUAUGAGGGAAGAAAAAUAAAAUUAGGAAAUGAAUUAUACAUGACGGUACCUCAUCAGAAAGCACCGGCAAACUAUGUGCCAGCAGCCGCGGUAAUACAUAGGGUGCAAGCGUUAUCCGGAAUUAUUGGGCGUAAAGUGUCUGUAGGUGGUAUGUUAAGUCUAGUGUUAAAGACUAGGGCCCAACCCUAGCACGCUCUAGAUACUGACAUGCUAGAGUCAUAGAG